UACGUAGGUGGCAAGCGUUGUCCGGAAUUAUUGGGCGUAAAGCGCGCGCAGGCGGUCCUUUAAGUCUGAUGUGAAAGCCCACGGCUCAACCGUGGAGGGUCAUUGGAAACUGGGGGACUUGAGUACAGAAGAGAAGAGUGGAAUUCCACGUGUAGCGGUGAAAUGCGUAGAGAUGUGGAGGAACACCAGUGGCGAAGGCGACUCUUUGGUCUGUAACUGACGCUGAGGCGCGAAAGCGUGGGGAGCGAAACAGG
rnacentral:rRNA from 1 species